UGCAGGAUGAGCCCGCGGCCUAUCAGCUUGUUGGUGAGGUAGUGGCUCACCAAGGCGACGACGGGUAGCCGGCCUGAGAGGGCGACCGGCCACACUGGGACUGAGACACCGCCCAGACUCCUACGUUAGGCAGCAGUGGGGAAUAUUGCACAAUGGGAAAAAGCCUGAUGCAGCGACGCCGCGUGAGGGAUGACGGCCUUCGGGUUGUAAACCUCUUUCAGCAGGGAAGAAGCGAAAGUGACGGUACCUGCAGAAGAAGCGCCGGCUAACUACGUGCCAGCAGCCGCGGUAAUACGUAGGGCGCAAGCGUUGUCCGGAAUUAUUGGGCGUAAAGAGCUCGUAGGCGGCUUGUCACGUCGGUUGUGAAAGCCCGGGGCUUAACCCCGGGUCUGCAGUCGAUACGGGCAGGCUAGAGUUCGGUAGGGGAGAUCGGAAUUCCUGGUGUAGCGGUGAAAUGCGCAGAUAUCAGGAGGAACACCGGUGGCGAAGGCGGAUCUCUGGGCCGAUACUGACGCUGAGGAGCGAAAGCGUG
rnacentral:rRNA from 1 species